rnacentral:rRNA from 1 species
UACGUAGGUGGCAAGCGUUGUCCGGAUUUACUGGGCGUAAAGGAUGCGUAGGCGGACAUUUAAGUCAGAUGUGAAAUACCCGAGCUUAACUUGGGUGCUGCAUUUGAAACUGGGUGUCUAGAGUGCAGGAGAGGUAAGUGGAAUUCCUAGUGUAGCGGUGAAAUGCGUAGAGAUUAGGAAGAACACCAGUGGCGAAGGCGACUUACUGGACUGUAACUGACGCUGAGGCGUGAAAGCGUGGGGAGCAAACAGG